AUACAUGCAAGUCGAACGAUACCGGGGAGCUUGCUUUCCGGGAAAGUGGCGCACGGGUGCGUAACGCGUAUGCAACCUACCUUUAUCAGGGGGAUAGCCUCUCGAAAGAGAGAUUAACACCGCAUAAAAUCACAAGCUGGCAUCAGCAAAUGAUCAAAUAUUUAUAGGAUAAAGAUGGGCAUGCGUGACAUUAGCUAGUUGGUAAGGUAACGGCUUACCAAGGCUACGAUGUCUAGGGGAUCUGAGAGGAUGACCCCCCACACUGGUACUGAGACACGGACCAGACUCCUACGGGAGGCAGCAGUAAGGAAUAUUGGUCAAUGGGGGCAACCCUGAACCAGCCAUGCCGCGCGCAGGAAGACGGCCCUAUGGGUUGUAAACUGCUUUUAUACCGGAAUAAACCCCCGAUCGUGAUCGGGGCUGAAUGUACGGUAAGAAUAAGGAUCGGCUAACUCCGUGCCAGCAGCCGCGGUAAUACGGAGGAUCCAAGCGUUAUCCGGAUUUAUUGGGUUUAAAGGGUGCGUAGGCGGCCUGUUAAGUCAGGGGUGAAAGACGGUGGCUCAACCAUCGCAGUGCCUUUGAUACUGACGGGCUUGAAUACACUUGAGGUAGGCGGAAUGUGACAAGUAGCGGUGAAAUGCAUAGAUAUGUCACAGAACACCGAUUGCGAAGGCAGCUUACUAAGGUGCAAUUGACGCUGAGGCACGAAAGCGUGGGGAUCAAACAGGAUUAGAUACCCUGGUAGUCCACGCCCUAAACGAUGAAUACUCGAUGUUAGCGAUAUACUGUUAGCGUCUAAGCGAAAGCGUUAAGUAUUCCACCUGGGGAGUACGCCCGCAAGGGUGAAACUCAAAGGAAUUGACGGGGGCCCGCACAAGCGGAGGAGCAUGUGGUUUAAUUCGAUGAUACGCGAGGAACCUUACCCGGGCUUGAAAGUUACUGAAGUAUCCAGAGAUGGAUGCGUCCGCAAGGACAGGAAACUAGGUGCUGCAUGGCUGUC
rnacentral:rRNA from 1 species